rnacentral:lncRNA from 1 species
UCUUACUGUCUUAAAAACUCAGAUUCUUUCAUUGAAAUGGCAUUAAGUAAACUUAAGACAAUGCUACAUGGAUUAGAGACUACCUAUAGUGCACCCAACUUGCAGGAUGUCAUUUAGUAUGCGUGUAUUCUUAACCCAACUUGCAGCCUAAUGGCUUUUUAAAGUCAAAACUUCCAUAGUCCUUUUGCAGUAUGAUUUUUGAGGCAUAUGGAGACAGAAUCUGAGCCAAUAUAUUUUAUUCCAAAUGAGGCUCUUUGAUUUCUCACAUGCUUUUGAAAUGUGAUGUUUGUCUACCCUGGAAAACUCUGCCGUUUCAACUCUCUGGAAAGCUAGGAAAGGUUUUGAAUAAUUGUAUCAUGGGUAGUUUUUGGAUUCCACUACUUGUGGGCUACUUCUGCUGGAUAAAUGUGUUGCCUACAUACAGUAUUCUCUUAACCCUGCUUCUCAAAAUCCUAUAUUUUCUGUUGUCAAGUCAAGAAUUACAAAGCCACACUUUGGCAUGGAGAAUACUACUCUACAGUUACUCAUCCUUAAUGACCUGUAGUACAGAAAAGUGAAAACAUUGUGGAGGAGAUAAAUUACCAAAAUAGAAGAUAAGCUGAAAAGGCAAUGGAAAAUAUAUCAUACAUAUCAAAGUUGCUCAUUUAUGCUAUUUUGCCAUAACAAUGCAUACAACUGAAGCACUUCCCUUCUCCAUUGGAGUUUUGUCUCUAGAGGUAUUAAAUAUUAAUCUUAUAAAGAAAAGAAAGCAAAAAAAAAAAACCCUGAACACAUGUUAAUAGGUUAGGGUUUUAAGAGCAAAUCACAAAAGCAGAAUAAGUACUUGGAGGAAAAAAACAGGAAGAGAGAGAAAGAGGGAGAGAGAGAGAGAGGUGGGGUAAAUUGUGGACCCUCCUUUUAAAGAAACAAAAUUUUCCACAGAGUUGCAUUAAUACUUAAAUUGGACUAACUCCAUGUGAAUCCUCGUAAGAAAUACUAUUUCCUUUCAAUUAACUCAUCUAUCCUACAAUUACAUGUCAUGAAAUCUAAAGGCAAAUAUGUUUACCCAGUAAGGGAAUAACAUUCGAGGCAAAAGUGAUGUCACAAACAGAUGGGAAUUCCAAGUAAUACUGAGUCAUGGUUCUAGGGGAAUAAAACAAUUACUUUACAGCUCAGUGCAAUGUAGUAUUUAAAGAAAAGGUAUUUCAAUAGAAUAGCCCAGACAAUUAUUCAACAUUUAACAGAGAUUAUAUUAGUCUAGAUAUGUUAAUUUGGAUUUUAUUCUGUUUUUUAUUUAUGUUAAUAGGUUUGGUUACUGGUUUAAAGAAAUAUUAGAAGUUUAUCUUUUAUUUUUACAAAUAGAUUAACAUUUGUCUUAGAGGGAGUUCUGCCCUUCAUGGAUAAUACCUUUACCUGCUAAAUCUAGAUUUCUUUUUCUAUAGUAAGUUUUAAACCAGUAAUUGAUGUAAAAAGAUGCAACAAAUAAAAUUAUAGCUACUAAUGGGCAUGUAUUUAUUAUACAGUAGGCAAUUUGCAGAAAGUUUUAUGUAUAUUAUUUUUAUUAAUCUUUAUGACAUUGGAAUUCCAUCAGGUAGGCAUUUUGAUUCCCAAGUAAACUAAAGAGAAGAAAACUGAGGCUUAAAGAGGCAAUCUUUAAUAUUGGUAUCCUUAUUUACAAAGAAAAUGAGUGCAGAAAGGACAAGUAGUUUUCGUGAAACCACUUGGAAGUGGAGGAGAAGGGUUUUGAACUCCCAUCAUCUCAAGCUCAUGCUUUGCCAUCUCACCACAGUGAAAUGAUGGAAAACUCAAGUCUGCAAACCUUAAAUUUUCAAUCAAAGGGAGGAAACCUUGGGCAAAUGAAGAGGUCAUGGAUAUGAUAUGAAAAUAUUUUAUGAUUUUGCAUGUGAGAAGCUACUGCAUAGAUGAAUUCAACUGCAGGAUCCCUUUUAAAAAAUAUGUAUCUUCAAGAUUGAGUGUGAGCCUUCACAAACUCCUCCUUGUAUCUUAAGUCUGCUGGAGUACUGGCCUGACUCCACUCACUCACUGUGUACUUCGUUUGAAACUAACAAACAAUACAGUGACUGUCAGUAGAUGUUGCCUCCUCAGUCUACAGAGCCAACAAAAAUUAUGGAAAAUGUCAUCAGAUUUCCAUGACAACAUCACGCUGUAUAAUCAACAUGGUUCGAACUAGUCACAUCUUUGCACAACUGGACACAUCAAAAUAAUUGUAUUAUGUCAUCAGUGAUGCCACCAGACAGAGCACCAGCUCCCUUCCUACACUGGAUAGCAGACGUUCAAAUAACGCAAUGUACUGAAGAACUAAUACAGUUUAGACACCAGAGGUCUCACAAGUUAAACCCUCUAUAUAAUACAGAGCCCUCCUGAGAAUCAACUUAAGGUGAAAUGUUUUAAAGAAGAGAUAAUGGUGGUGGUGUGGUGGUACAUGUUGAGCAACCAGCUCUCUGGAGCAACUGAAAAAUACUUCUAAUCUGGCAAAUUCAGCGAGAAGACUGAGUUCCUUAAUUUCUGUCAGCACCAGUGAAAAACUGUCCUAAACUGACCCUGGCUUACAGAUGUACCACUGGAUCUUGGACUAAAUGGUAAUGGUAAUCAUUCUGAGCUUCCAUUAAAAUUCUAAGCCUUCUUCCAUUUUAUUUCUUAUUAACAGCUAUUAUUGUUGUUGUUGUUGUUGUUGUUGUUGUUGUUGUUGUUAUUAUAGCAAAGAAGAACAGCAGAAUGGUUGGUGGAGAUUCCUAUGCUUUCGACCCAUGGCGGGGUCACUAAGUCAGGUGAAUCACCUCCCACCCCUAAAGAUUCCCACCCAGUUAUGCCUUCUAAUGUGCUGUUCACAGUUUAUCAACUGAUUCUGAAAUUCUGAGACUUAACAGUUUUAAACUGA